rnacentral:lncRNA from 1 species
AGCACAAACACUCUAUAACACAUAGACUGGUUUUAGAUCACUUCAAACACCCAUAGUAUACAAAAAGAUCCUAAACAUUACGAUAUGUCGAUAUCUGAUUGACUAAUUUUACUACUAAUAAGAAAUUAAAGGCUCAAAAUUUUAGUCAAAAACGCAAAAUACUUUCCUCAUACCACUAGAUAGUUGUUAAAAGCCUCUAAUAGACUGUAUAUUAUAUAUAGAGAGAGGGGCAAGUAAGAAUUCUGAAAGAAAACCGGGAAAAAAAACCCCUAGGGUUUUGAGCUUUCUGUUUUAUUCAUAUACGUACAACGGUUGUACAGAGGCUGAGGGCUGACCUUAUGCUACUGAUUGAAUGAGGAAAUCCCUGAUGCUUAUUAUAUAACACGAGUACUUUGCAUAUGAGAAUGGGAUAAAGACAUCGUGUGCAUAACAUAUAAUACUUUGUCAAUCAGACAAAAUGGAACUCACAAUUAACAAAAAUCGGUCAAAAAACUCAAGAUAGCAAUCACAAAGGUUAAACAACGAAGAGAUGGUGCCCUAGGAACUCUGGGCCUGGAAAAAGCCACUU